AGUCAGAAGAAUGUGGGAUGCGCAUAGCUAGCUAAACCCAAGUAGGUGGAGUAAGUAAAUGUAACCUUUUAGUGCUUAGCCUAUUAGAUAGAGACAAGUAUGCAUAAUUAUGGUAUUUGGUAUAAAUACACGCUAUCUCGGGCAAUAAAGUUGAUCAUGCUUUAUCACUCACAUUGAGUCGGCCUGCAUGUUUUCCUCAGCCGCACACUCGCACUAAACCUUAAAAUUUCACGGUUAACUUUGACUGCAAGAUUGCUAAACUAGAAACAAACUGGAAUAUUUGUAAAAUUGACCUGCUUUUUCCCUGUUUUCCAGUGAGACAGAAAGAAUAUAAGAGGGUUUCUUUAAUGGAUACAGCACCAUAGAAAUUAUUGAAAAUUACUUGAGAAAAAUCACCUUUCUUUUUUCUGCUCUUUUCUUUUUCUACUUAAAAGUUUCUCUGGUGAUAUGUUGAACUUUACUGAUAACAUAUGGAACAACAUUUAUUUACAAGGAUUAGGUGGAGAAAGCUGCAAAGAAAAAAAAAAUGAUGCAAACCACAAGCUCACGUGCUGAGUUAAUGCUGGGGGUGAAGGAAUGACAAAAAGGACACAUCCUGGGAAUUUAUAGAUGUUGCAGAAUAUGGAGGAAAACUAUAGGCCUUCUGUGGCAAUGCAAGCUACCAGAUGAAUAUACCGGAUUUCAAGUGGGGUUCCUGGAACCAAGGAAACUUGAAGAACGAGUCUGCUGUGGCAUUCAAGCUGGUAAGCGGCAUCUCUUGCAAGAGAGGCUGAUGAGGCUUGUGCAUUUCCAGCAGCAACUGUGGGAGAUUUAAAUGGUUCUAGGGAGCGUAGGUGACAAGGGUAAGCAAACGGGCAUGGCAUUUUGCACAGCAGAUCACGCAGGCAGGGCAUCCAGGAAGGAUGCUGCAGGCUACUCGUAGGUCCACAGCCCAAAGCAGUACUCUGGGUCUCUGUCAU